CUUCAUGUAUGCAUCAAUCAGAUAACCAUGAUUAUUGCUCACCUUAUAUCCAUUUUUUUGCUGAAAAAUAUGUUGCAGGUUAGUGGCAGAGUUACCUAUAAUGGCCAUGAAAUGAAUGAAUAAGUUUGUACCUCAAAGAACUGCAAUAUACAUUAACCAGAAUGAUGUUCAUAUUGGAGAAAUGACUGUGAGGGAAACCUUGGCUUUCUCAGCAAAGGUGUCAAGGGGUUGGUUCAAGAUUCGUUGUUUCUCCUUCUUGUCCACCAAACUGAAAGCACAGAUUUCUCUCCUGAAAGCGCAGAAGAUUACAAAAAUUUAGGCUAGAGUGGUUAUCCUUGUUUGUCUAUAUUCUUAGCAUAGGGAGCCAGAUCGAGUCAAGGCCAACUUUGGAACAGGUAAUAAUUAUUAGUAUUUUAAGAUUUGCCCUAUUUGUUGAUGAAAAUUGUAAGGGAAAGUUAGGGAAGUUAGAAAAAUUGUAAGGAAAUGAGUGAAAUCUCUGAACCUUUUAAGAAGCUACAUCUUGGAAAGCCAUUUAAUAAGUUUGACAUAACACUAAAUGCUACAACUUGGACUUCAACUCAGAAAUAGCACAUAUAAUGGUGAUUCUAACACUUUCUGAGUCCACUUUCUUUACACUAUCUUUCAUCCAUUUUGUUCAUUUGAUUUUUGUUAUUCUAAUUCUGACUCUGAUUUUAUUUUUGUUCAAGUUGGUAUUUUGAAGGCAAAUGAAGUAACUGUUUGAAUGAUUUAGUUUACUUGCUUUGAAAAAUCAAAAUAAAUUACUUGCUUUUUGGCAUUUUAUUCUAUGGCCGCGAAGGCUCUUUUUUUUUUGGCAGGAACAUUUUUCUUCUUGUUCAGAAAAAUAAGGUCCUAUACAAAUACUUGUAUCAUAAGGGAAAUAUGUUGAUUAUUGUUCAUUAGAAAAACUAUCUCAUUACGCUGCUGAUACAGUUUAAAGUAUAAACUUGUUGAUGUUAUUAGUAUGUGCUAAGUUAUUGCCUAAGAGUGAGUUUAUUUCAGGCUUUUGAUAGUUCUUUGUGGUUUGUAAAUGACCUGAAAUUGAUAUGUUAGAAUUAAUUAGUCUAGGUUAUUUUUUAUUUUUUGAUGUCAUUAUUCAAAUUCUUCUUGUUUGUUGGUGUUGUGAUACUAAUUUUGAUUUUGUGGAACGGAUUUGAUAUUGUUUUGAGUCUGAUAAUUGGUUACUAAGUUU